UAAACUAGAUUAUGCCUAGCUAUCAAGUAUAUUAAAGGAUUCUGUAACCAUUAGCAAUAUACAGUAAAAUACUGUCUGUUUGGGAAAUGGGUACAAAGUAAGGUGGGAGCAAGUUAAGAGUGAAAUUUAUUUAUUUUUUAUAAAAGAAAGUGAAUUGAAAAUGUUUGUUAGGCCAAAGGCCACUGCAUAAAGGACAGCUGGGUUUCUGAGGAAGAUGAGGGUCUAAUUAGUCCAGGAAAACAUAGGGAGAGAGAGAAAGGGGUAACAAAUAAUAAAUAUAUCCAAAGGAGUUGAGAAAGGUGUUUUUAAAUAUGUUUCGUAUUUUGUGUUUAAUUUACUGAAUAUUUUGUCUCCAGCUAGUUAUAAUAUAAGGCCCUGAUUCUGCAAUCUGAUCCACAAAAAUGGACAUCCAUCCCUAAGGACCUCAAAGGGACUCAUUAUUGUCUACUGUAGGGUAAUGUUUAGCAGUGAAGAGGAGGUACUUUAUGCCACCUUCUGUGAAGAAACAUGAGACAACUAAACUGGGAAAGAGGAGUUAUCAGCAAUAAAAUCAGGAUGGCUGGCAAGGUAGGUUUAUGUGAAGGAGAAAAUAUGUUUUGAAGUGAAUUCCCUUGGUCUCACAUGCAAGAUGUUAGGAGUGGCACCUUUUUCCCUUGUGCAUGCAGUUGAAGUUCAAAGAAACUCCACGCAAAGUAUGAAGUAAGAUAUUUGUUUUUCAAUUUCAAUGCUAUCACUUAAGGUUCAGAAUGAUAUGUAGAUGAGU
rnacentral:lncRNA from 1 species